CACGCCGUAAACGAUGUCAACUAGCCGUUGGAGUCCUUGAGGCUUUAGUGGCGCAGCUAACGCAAUAAGUUGACCGCCUGGGGAGUACGGCCGCAAGGUUAAAACUCAAAUGAAUUGACGGGGGCCCGCACAAGCGGUGGAGCAUGUGGUUUAAUUCGAUGCAACGCGAAGAACCUUACCAGGUCUUGACAUCCUGCGAAUUUUCUAGAGAUAGAUUAGUGCCUUCGGGAACGCAGUGACAG
rnacentral:rRNA from 1 species